AUUGAACGCUGGCGGCAGGCCUAACACAUGCAAGUCGAACGAGUGGCGGACGGGUGAGUAAUGUCUGGGAAACUGCCCGAGGGAGGGGGAUAACUACUGGAAACGGUAGCUAAUACCGCAUACCAUCGGAUGUGCCCAGAUGGGAUUAGCUUGUAGGUGGGGUAACGGCUCACCUAGGCGACGAUCCAUAGCUGGGCUGAGAGGAUUACCAGUCAAACUGGAACUGAGACACGGGCCAGACUCCUACGGGAGGCAGCAGUGGGGAAUAUUGCACAAUGGGCGCAAGCCUGAUGCAGCCAUGCCGCGUGUAUGAAGAAGGCCUUCGGGUUGUAAAGUACUGUCAGCGGGGAUGCGUAACUCGCAGAAGAAGCACCGGCUAACUCCGUGCCAGCAGCCGCGGUAAUUC
rnacentral:rRNA from 1 species